rnacentral:rRNA from 1 species
UACGGAGGGUGCAAGCGUUAUCCGGAUUCACUGGGUUUAAAGGGAGCGUAGGUGGGUUUGUAAGUCAGUGGUGAAAUCUCCGUGCUUAACAUGGAAACUGCCAUUGAUACUAUAGGUCUUGAAUUAUCUGGAGGUUAGCGGAAUAUGUCAUGUAGCGGUGAAAUGCUUAGAUAUGACAUAGAACACCAAUUGCGAAGGCAGCUCACUACGGAUUUAUUGACACUGAGGCACGAAAGCGUGGGGAGCAAACAGG